UGCCCAGGAGGCCCAAGGCCCUGGGUUCGGUCCCCAGCCCCGAAAAAAAAAAAAAGAGACAGAGAGGUAGAGAUUAAAUUCAUAUGAUAGGUAUAUAGAUGAUAGAUAGAUAGAUAGAUAGAUAGAUAGAUAGAUAGAUAGAUAGGAGACUGUGUGUGCAUGUAUGUCAGAGAGACAGAGAGGUAGAGAUUAAAUUCAUGAAUAAAGAUGCAGCAUAUUAAUUACUAUCAAUUAAACACUAUCCACCUUAAAAUCAAUCAAGUUCUGACACACACUGCAGGGUGGAUAAAGCUUGAAGGCGUUGUGCUAAGUGAAAGAGGCCAGGUAUGAAAGGACAGUUAUAGCAGAAUUCCAUUUAUAUGAGGUUCUUAAGAGUCACUGAAUUCAGAGAAACGAAAAGUAGACCUGAGGUGACUGGGGCCUGGGAGGAGAGGAGACUUGUGCUGGAAUUAAAUAAUGACAGAGUCUCAGUUUGGGGAGAUAAAAGGCUCGGGGGUAGAUGAUGGAGCUGACUAUGAAACAGCUUGAAAUGCUCAUCUUUAAAAACUAUGUGCUGCACUGCAAUUAAGGAGUAAGAGAACAUCUCAACCUGACCUGGAGAACCUCCUGUCCCUGUCUCUAAACCUGUGAUCUAUCCAGGAGAACCCUUCACUCGACAAUGUCUGCCAAGCAGGGCCUGGAGCAAGGCAAGCAGAAGGCUCAGGGAGAGUAGGUGGGCUUUAAUUUCAAAAGUAUCUUUCUAAUUAUCAGUGCCACUCUGCAGCCAUGGGGUCACCCUGGGAGGCUGAGAACUGCUCACCACUCAAGAGGGGCUGGUGUAAAAGCAGGAGAGGGACAUCCAGGCCAGCGGGAGGUUGGAGCCGCUGACUUCCGUGACUCCAUUAGUUCUCACAAAGCCAGGCCAGUCUGCCCUUGCUCUUGCCCUGACUAAGACGUAGGCAGUAAGCAGUUCAGCUGAGGAUAGGCAGACCCCCAUGCCAGUCCCAGUCCUUUCAGAAAUAUCCAUUUGUCCUUGAAUAAACCUCAAAUUCAAUUAUCACCUGCUAGGACCUUCGUCACCUCACCCUGCUCCUUGGAGAUAUGGGACCAGUUAAACAAGGACUUCAGAAGACAGGCAAUUAUGGUUGACACCCCCAUGCUCUUCCUUUCACUCUGCUUUCAGAAGAGAGUCAGUGGUAUUUCCCCAGAUGCAGCCUGCACACUCGGAGGUCUGGGAGGUGGCAGCACCGGCACACUGGAGUUGUCUAGUGAGGCAUUUCCACAUCGCUGCGUACAGGUAAUGUAGGUAGUGCGCACAGCAUGGAGAGUGUGUUUCUUCAUGGAAGUGGUACACCUCUGUGCUUCAGACAAGCUUUAAAGAAAUCGGUGAAGUUGCAAGUUUAGUGUGCUGGGCCUUACAAAAGUGUCUGCUGCUCUACGUUGCAUGAGAGGAGGAAAGUCAGACAUCGGUGCAGAAAAGUCAAAUCACAGCCAGAGAAUGGAGGGCGAGCUUCCCUCCGCCAAGGUGGACUGAAGAGAGGGCGGGGCUUGGAGACAGCACCAGGAGGAAACUGGUGAACGAGAGGACAGGACUGAGUUCAUCUGUGUUACCUCCUGGCUGUGUGGCCUGGAGCACAGCCCAAUUUCCCAUCUGCAAUGGGGGAAUCACGACCCGGUGUUGCGUAUUCAGCAUUUGGAGAAAACUCUUCUUCGUUAGUCAGAAGUUUCUAGAGACUAUUAGAGGUUAAUGAAUGCUUGUGACUCCUGCCCU